UUCCAUUGUCAUAUAAGGAGUCAAAUUGUUUCUUAUCAUUUGUUCAUUGAAGAACAGAGACCUGUCUGGAAAAUCGAUCUCUACAAAUUCAAUUAAAUAAUGAUCCCCAAAUGCUGAAAAAGUGAAAUACAGCAAUUCAACAGAUAAUAGAGCAAUGUUUAGUAUAUUCAGCUGUAUCUGUAGAAACUCUUUGACGAACCUCAAUUUAACCAAUUUGAUGAAUACCCAGUUCUCUUCUUUUCUAGAGAAAGAUAGUUGCAACCUCACCUCCCUCACUCAACACUUUGAAUACUUAUUGUUUGGCAGGUCAUCCACACACUUCUGCCCCCACUGCAUUGAAUUUUUUGCUUAUGUUGUUUAUAAUAAAACUUUUCAAUUAUCUC
rnacentral:lncRNA from 1 species